AUGGUGGGGGUCUUCAUGCCUUCCUCUCCAUGGGGAUCUGUCUGUGCGCCGGUGCUGGCUGCUGGCCGCCGUGCUGGGGUGAGUACAGGGAAAAGUGGGGAGGGCACUGUGCGAGGGGAUGCGGCUGUGGCGAUGCCUCUUUUGGGGUUGGCAGCUGGCUUGCACUGCUGGGCUUUCAGCUGUGCGUGCACACAGGGGUUGGAGCCAAACAGGAAAAUGCGCCGUCCGCUUCUGUGCUUGCAAGAAAGAGGAUCUCAGCCUGGAGCCGGUGAAAGGGGAAGCGGCCAUCCCGUGUCUCCAUGCUGGCUUGCAGAGCAGGAUGUGUCCCCCGAGAGGCUCUUCCUGGAUGUGACUUGGUUCCCAUCACAUCCGCUCUGGUGUUUCGGGACCCUCCCGGCCCUGGUGGGGUACAUGGGGUGGUGGUGGUGUUUUGGGGUGAGUCAGGGGGUCUGGGGAGCAGCGUGCAGCAGGCGGGGCAUUGUGGGCGCGCUGUGUUGGGCCAUGCCAAGCCCGCGCUGCAUCUCGCUUUCUCCCCGGGUGCUUUUCCCUGCCGGGACGGGUCGUGGCAGUGAAACCGGCUGGGGGAGCCGGUGCUGUCCCUGCACCCAGACUGGGCAGGGCUGGGCUCCCACUCAUUUCUCGGCUCCUGCCCGCCAGCCAUCGCGCUGCCGACGUGUUGGUGCUUGCUGCACACACGUCCCUCCUCCUCCUCUGCCAAAAGCUCGGGCUGCUGACGGCUUUCACAAAGCGAGGAGCAGGGCCAGGGCUGCGCAUCCCCCAGGUACAGCGGGACGGCAGGUGGGCUUUGGAGAGCUGUGCACCCACGGUACAACACGGGACCCCCGGUCCCAGCAGUGCGCACAGCCCCAGUGGGAUGGGUGUGGGGCGGCUUUGCGCCAUGGCCACCGAUUCCCAAAGGCUGGUUGGGUUUCUGCACCCUGCUUGCAAGGCACGGGAACUGGGCGAGGGGGGAGUUCGCGCUGGGGUUGGUGUGGGGUGUGCAGGAGGGCACUGCGCCCUGUCCCACUGCAGGCAGCGCUGUCAGGGUGUGAGGGGCUGCGGAACGCGGCCCGGCCCCACGUGGGCAGCUCGGGUGGGUGGCAAAGUGCUGCCGGCACAGGGAGAGGCUCAGCACAGCCUCAGGCGUUUCUGCCACAGCCCACACACUUUCCUCUUCCAUCCCAGGUGAGUCCACGUCCCUUCUUUCCUUCACCUUACAUUCUUUCUUUCCUCCUUCCCCUCUUGUCCUCUCCCCCUUAG
rnacentral:lncRNA from 1 species